AACGAACGCUGGCGGCAGGCUUAACACAUGCAAGUCGAGCGCCCCGCAAGGGGAGCGGCAGACGGGUGAGUAACGCGUGGGAAUCCACCCAUCUCUACGGAAUAACGCAUGGAAACGUGUGCUAAUACCGUAUACGUCCUUCGGGAGAAAGAUUUAUCGGAGAUGGAUGGGCCCGCGUUGGAUUAGCUAGUUGGUGGGGUAAAGGCCUACCAAGGCGACGAUCCAUAGCUGGUCUGAGAGGAUGAUCAGCCACACUGGGACUGAGACACGGCCCAGACUCCUACGGGAGGCAGCAGUGGGGAAUAUUGGACAAUGGGCGCAAGCCUGAUCCAGCCAUGCCGCGUGAGUGAUGAAGGCCCUAGGGUUGUAAAGCUCUUUCACCGGUGAAGAUAAUGACGGUAACCGGAGAAGAAGCCCCGGCUAACUUCGUGCCAGCCGCCGCAGUAAGAC
rnacentral:rRNA from 1 species